UACAGAGGUCUCAAGCGUUGUUCGGAUUCAUUGGGCGUAAAGGGUGCGUAGGUGGCGCUGUAAGUCGGGUGUGAAAUUUCGGAGCUUAACUCCGAAACUGCAUUCGAUACUGCGGUGCUUGAGGACUGGAGAGGAAACUGGAAUUCAUGGUGUAGCAGUGAAAUGCGUAGAGAUCAUGAGGAAGACCAGUGGCGAAGGCGGGUCUCUGGGCCGUAACUGACGCUGAGGCACGAAGGCCAGGGGAGCAAACGGG
rnacentral:rRNA from 1 species